GAUGAAGAACGCAGCGAAAUGCGAUAAGUAGUGUGAAUUGCAGAAUUCAGUGAAUCAUCGAAUCUUUGAACGCACAUUGCGCCCUGUGGUAUUCCGCAGGGCAUGCCUGUUCGAGCGUCAUUUCAACCCUCAAGCCUCGCUUGGUGUUGGGCCCUGCCCGCCGCGGCCGGCCCUAAAGAUAGUGGCGGCGCCGCCUGGCCCUCAGCGUAGUACAGCUCUCGCUCCAGGGUCCGGCGGCAGCCUGCCAGAACCCCCCAACUCUGUGGUUGACCUCGGAUCAGGUAGGGAUACCCGCUGAACUUAAGCAUAUCAAUAAGCGGAGGA
rnacentral:misc_RNA from 1 species